GCAGUGUCAACUGAGGUAAUUCUGAAGAAGUGUGAGGGAGUCACUCUUUGACAGAUGAGAGAGGAUGGGGGGUGGAAAUGCAGCAAUCGUGGGCAGACUUACUCAGAAGUAACUAAGCCCCCUAUACGGUUUCUCUUCCAUAUUGCUCUAAUUAUCCGUGUGGCUUUCCCCAACUGUCCAUUCAUUGUGUCCCCUCCCACCUUUCCCUGAGAGCUCACCUUCCAUCUCUAAAGGAAUAGGCACUGGACUUGCAGUUGCAGCAGAACCCACUAGCUGGCUCCCCCUGCUGACGACAGAGGACUGGCAAAACGAGUCAACAUUCUAGCUUCGUUAUUCCUUUCGGAUCUCUCGGCGGCUUUCGAUGCCAUCGACCAUGGUAUCCUUCGCCUGAGAGAGGCUGAUCUUUUAAGGAGCUCCUGGAGAAUCCCAUGAUGGUAUGAAGGGCUACUGAGUUAUGUGGAUACUGGCAUCAGGACUGCAAACCAAGAACCAUGGAUUCAUUCACUGUAUCACGAGUAGAUGCCAUCAUAAUCCCGAACGACACCCUGGAAUCUGCCUCUGCACGAAAGACUCUUGUAUGAAUAAUACAAACACGAUAGAUAACUUGAGAGACCUGUCAAUUGCCAGGGUGUUCCCAAAUUCAUGCAGUUCAUAAACCAGUCAAGGAGGUGGUUGGGGUUGUGAAUCAUUCAUACAAGAUCCUUUCACAUGUAUGCAGACACAGACAUUCUUGAGAGUCAUAUCAUAUUUGCAUAAACUGUCAAGAGGCACAGCCCUUAGGCGGAAUAUUCAGUGCAGGCAAAAGAGUGUCUGUGUGUAUCUGCAUGUAUGAACAGCAAGAUUUGAUAGUCACUUUGUUUUCUGAAACAAAUUUUUCUUGUAGAUCUGGCAAACCAAACACAAAUUCCAAUCAGAUUUUUCUUCUUGUGCAAACACUUUAUUGUGCAUCUCCAAAAAUAAAGAUAAAUCAACAUUU